UUGCUGCUGGGUCUGUUUGGUGUGGCGCAGCCUGGGUCUGUUUGGUGUCGAAAUGUUCAAGGCGGACUCCAGCAAGGGUUGCCUGCGUACUUUCGGCAGCGUUUGGCUCCUUCGUACCCGGUGACCUUUUGUCAGGUUGAGCCAGAGACCAGUUCUUCGCUUUCCCACGAGUCGCCGUCCAAACCCCAGUCAACGUUCCAAAUUGAUGCUGC